rnacentral:rRNA from 1 species
UACGGGGGGGGCAAGCGUUGUUCGGAAUUACUGGGCGUAAAGGGCUCGUAGGUGGCCAACUAAGUCAGACGUGAAAUCCCUCGGCUUAACCGGGGAACUGCGUCUGAUACUGGAUGGCUUGAGUUCGGGAGAGGGAUGCGGAAUUCCAGGUGUAGCGGUGAAAUGCGUAGAUAUCUGGAGGAACACCGGUGGCGAAGGCGGCAUACUGGACCACCUCUGACGCUGAGGCGCGAAAGCCAGGGGAGCAAACGGG